rnacentral:misc_RNA from 1 species
UGCCCUCAGGAGCCUGAUGACAGA